UAUGACAAAGUAGAGGUAGUAGAACA
rnacentral:piRNA from 1 species